rnacentral:rRNA from 1 species
AUGAAACUCUUAUGCUGAAACUGCCGGGGACUUGGGAAUGCCCCGGCAAUUCGUGCUUUGCUGGAUGUCCAGCGAAGCUGCAGCCCAGAUGUGAUGUUUUUAUCGGAGACAUACUUAGAAAGUUAUCCGGCCGAGUGCCUGAGGAGGAGACUGAAGAUGGACCAAAAGAUGGUCUGUUUUGUAGAUAGUAGGAAGGGAGGACUGCUGCUGUUUUGGAAGAAAGAAAUCAAGAUUCAUCGAUUAGAACUUGAUCCUAUGUUUAUCGAUGUACGGGUAGAAGAUGAAAGGAAUAACGUCUGGAGACUAACGGGUAUGUAUGGGGAGUUUAAAUGGGCGAACAAAUACAAUACGUGGGAUAGGAUGCGUCGGCUGCAUCAUAACAACAAUUUACCAUGGCUCCUUAUUGGGGACUUCAAUGAAAUUCAGUUUUUGAGUGAGAAAGAAGGAGGCAACCCAAGACCGCCAUAG